AGACCAGCUACACAUGAGAAUACUACAGUACUUGUGUGUAUACUGUGUGUAGAACCAUGAAUCAUCCUUUACUGAGUUUUCAGAAAGCAUGAUGGGGCAGGGACUUUCAGCUUUUCUUCAGCUUUCUCUCUGGAAAUGAAGGCAGAGUGAGACAGACAGGGAUAAUGAGAAGAGAGAAUGGUUGCAGAGACAGAAGCCGUAGGUCCAGCAGUGUCACAGCUGGCCUGAGGCGGAGCCAGAGAACAGCCGUGUUGUUGCCUGAAUCUGUUUUGACUUUGAGGACGUGUCAUCGUCAGACUUUCAGAAGUUGAAGAUGUUCUUUGUCAUUCC